rnacentral:rRNA from 1 species
UACGUAGGGUGCAAGCGUUAAUCGGAAUUACUGGGCGUAAAGCGUGCGUAGACGGUUAUUUAAGUCAGGUGUGAAAGCCCCGGGCUCAACCUGGGAAUUGCAUUUGAGACUGAAUAGCUAGGGUGCGGAAGAGGGAAGCGGAAUUUCCGGUGUAGCGGUGAAAUGCGUAGAUAUCGGAAGGAACACCAGUGGCGAAAGCGGCUUCCUGGUCCAGCACCGACGUUCAGGCACGAAAGCGUGGGGAGCGAACCGG